GUCACUUCCUUCUUCACCAGACCGUUAAUGGCUCUAAUGGAGAGAGGUCGGUGAGGUCAGCUGAGCAGACGUUCUCAGAAGAACCGAGGAUUCUUUCAAAGCCUCCUUAAACGUUUUGAUUCUGCACCAUUUAAGGAGCAAUUUGCUGUUCACGGUUCCUGGUCUUUACAGAACCCCUGUGGUCUCUAACUGCUCCGCUCCUGCAGCACAUCCAGCAUCAAGGUCAGAGGUUCACACCAACCUCACGUCACUCUCCACCAACAGCCAAGUAAUAGAUGCUUUCGGCCUCCACGCAUUAAUGCGUCCAGAACCUGCUGACAGAUGACGAGUAAAGCAGCCGGGAAUCAGAGGCCAAACAUGUUGGAUGGGACUGUGUGAUUUGUCAAAACAAAUAAUUAAAAUGUCAGACUUCUUCUCUUUUUUCCCCUCA